UACGGAGGGUGCAAGCGUUAUCCGGAUUUACUGGGUUUAAAGGGUGCGUAGGUGGGCAGGUAAGUCAGUGGUGAAAUCUCCGGGCUUAACCCGGAAACUGCCAUUGAUACUAUCUGUCUUGAAUAUCCUGGAGGUAAGCGGAAUAUGUCAUGUAGCGGUGAAAUGCUUAGAUAUGACAUAGAACACCAAUUGCGAGGGCAGCUUACUACGGGAUCAUUGACACUGAGGCACGAAAGCGUGGGGAUCAAACAGG
rnacentral:rRNA from 1 species